rnacentral:rRNA from 1 species
CCUACGGGCGGCAGCAGUGAGGAAUAUUGGUCAAUGGGCGCGAGCCUGAACCAGCCAAGUAGCGUGAAGGAUGACUGCCCUACGGGUUGUAAACUUCUAUUAUAAAGGAAUAAAGUGAGGCACGUGUGCCUUUUUGUAUGUACUUUAUGAAUAAGGAUAGGCUAACUCCGUGCCAGCAGCCGCGGUAAUACGGAGGAUCCGAGCGUUAUCCGGAUUGAUUGGGUUGAAAGGGAGCGUAGAUGGGUUGUUAAGUCAGUGGUGAAAGUUUGCGGCUCAACCGUAAAAUUGCAAUUGAUACUGGCAGUCUUGAGUACAGUUGAGGUAGGCGGAAUUCGUGGUGGAGCGGUGAAAUGCUUAGAUAUCACGAAGAACUCCGAUUGCGAAGGCAGCUUACUAAACUGCCACUGACAUUGAUGCUCGAAAGUGUGGGUAUCAAACAGGAUUAGAUACCCUUGUAGUC